CUUGGUUUGUGCAAUCAUAUCUUAUUAAUCACUGCUGAUGUCAAUAGCAGUGAAUGAUGGGUGUGUAAUACAAAAAUCAAGCAGCAGUUAAGGUUCUUUUUUUUUUUUCCCAAAGUAGAAAGUUGUUUUCUGGAUACUUGCUUUGAGUUCUUCAGAAGCUGCCCCAUUUGGACCGAGGGUCAAAUAGCGGACGGCCCUGCCUGUCCCUAGCGUGCCCCCUGCCCUGGAGGAGAGAAGGCUGAAGCUAUAUUUUACAGCAAGCCUGUUUCUUCUGGGUCAGGAUACAAGCUUUAAUUUAAGAUCAAGGAGGAAGAAAAGAAAUUUUAUGUUGAUGGAUCUUUAAAGGAAUGUCUGCCUGAACCCCAUUCAAAAGAAAAUUCAUGGAAUUAAGUGUGUUAUGGAUCAUUUUUGCAUCAUGGGAAAAACUUGGAGUUCCAGUUGGACCCUUACAAACUGUGUGUGCAAGGUUUAAAUCUAAUUUGCAACAUUGAUAUGGAUGAAUAUGUCAAAACAAAAGGACUCUUUCCAUCAUUGGACUUUAAUAUUUUGGAUAACCAAGGCCAAUGAGUGUCUGAAAAGAAUUAAUUCCUGUACAGCAUUCAACACAAUUUUGUCUGUGAAUACCAGUAAUAACAUUCUACUUCAUUUCUCCACUUCUGGGCACAGUUUGACUGGGAUUCUUUUUACCCCUCUUCGAUUUCUACAUUUUAAACCACUGUUUAUAUCAGCAGGUAAAUUUUCUUUUUCUUCUUUCUUCUUUUUCACUGCUCAUUUUUUUUUUUUCUAAAAUGUAUAAUGCUCUAUACUCACUCUAUAAUUUAAAUUGCUGUUUUCCAGCCUGGCUGAAGAAUGUCUGAAAGAGUUUGAAGUUCAAGGGGAUGUUUGUGUGUGUUUUGGCAGAUGUUAAGAAGUUUUUCAAAAAAUGAGUGCUGGUGUCUUACUAGAGGAAACUUCUGUCUUCCAACUGAGAACCUCUUGAGAGCUUAUUUGUUGCUCUACAUGCUCUGUCUGGUAUGGCAGUGAUACCUUUCACAUUUUAGAGAUUUCACUUUACGAGCACUGCUUCUUCUGUGAGCACUGCUUUUCUUCUUCUUUUCUUUUCUUUUUCUUUGAAGGGAAAUAAAAUUUAAGCAAACAUAACA
rnacentral:lncRNA from 1 species